AGUGAACGCUGGCGGUAGGCCUAACACAUGCAAGUCGAACGGCAGCACAGUAAGAGCUUGCUCUUACGGGUGGCGAGUGGCGGACGGGUGAGGAAUACAUCGGAAUCUACUUUUUCGUGGGGGAUAACGUAGGGAAACUUACGCUAAUACCGCAUACGACCUACGGGUGAAAGCAGGGGAUCUUCGGACCUUGCGCGAUUGAAUGAGCCGAUGUCGGAUUAGCUAGUUGGCGGGGUAAAGGCCCACCAAGGCGACGAUCCGUAGCUGGUCUGAGAGGAUGAUCAGCCACACUGGAACUGAGACACGGUCCAGACUACUACGGGAGGCAGCAGUGGGGAAUAUUGGACAAUGGGUGCAAGCCUGAUCCAGCCAUACCGCGUGGGUGAAGAAGGCCUUCGGGUUGUAAAGCCCUUUUGUUGGGAAAGAAAAGCAGCAGGUUAAUACCCCGCUGUUCUGACGGUACCCAAAGAAUAAGCACCGGCUAACUUCGUG
rnacentral:rRNA from 1 species